rnacentral:rRNA from 1 species
UACAGAGGGUGCAAGCGUUAAUCGGAAUUACUGGGCGUAAAGGGCGCGUAGGUGGUUAUGUAAGUGAGAUGUGAAAUCCCUGGGCUCAACCUGGGAACUGCAUCUUAUACUGCGUAGCUGGAGUACAUGAGAGGGUAGUGGAAUUUCCGGUGUAGCGGUGAAAUGCGUAGAUAUCGGAAGGAACACCAGUGGCGAAGGCGGCUACCUGGCAUGAUACUGACACUGAGGCGCGAGAGCGUGGGGAGCAAACAGG